UUGCCAGCUUCUAGCGUGCUUGGGUUUGGAGCAACAGCUUUGAAACUGCUUGAGGCCAUGCUCUAUAAUAUCUACAGAGCAAGGUCAUCAAAAUAUCAGACAUUC
rnacentral:snoRNA from 1 species